rnacentral:rRNA from 1 species
UCCUACGGGUGGCUGCAGUGGGGAAUAUUGCACAAUGGGCGCAAGCCUGAUGCAGCGACGCCGCGUGAGGGAUGACGGCCUUCGGGUUGUAAACCUCUUUCAGCACAGACGAAGCGCAAGUGACGGUAUGUGCAGAAGAAGGACCGGCCAACUACGUGCCAGCAGCCGCGGUAAUACGUAGGGUCCGAGCGUUGUCCGGAAUUACUGGGCGUAAAGAGCUCGUGGGUGGUUUGUCGCGUUGUUCGUGAAAACUCACAGCUUAACUGUGGGCGUGCGGGCGAUACGGGCAGACUUGAGUACUGCAGGGGAGACUGGAAUUCCUGGUGUAGCGGUGGAAUGCGCAGAUAUCAGGAGGAACACCGGUGGCGAAGGCGGGUCUCUGGGCAGUAACUGACGCUGAGGAGCGAAAGCGUGGGGAGCGAACAGGAUUAGAUACCCGUGUAGUC